AACCAUAGAAACCUGCGGAGUACCUGCGGAAGGAUCAUUACAAGUGACCCCGGUUUACCACCGGGAUGUUCAUAACCCUUUGUUGUCCGACUCUGUUGCCUCCGGGGCGACCCUGCCUUCGGGCGGGGGCUCCGGGUGGACACUUCAAACUCUUGCGUAACUUUGCAGUCUGAGUAAACUUAAUUAAUAAAUUAAAACUUUUAACAACGGAUCU
rnacentral:misc_RNA from 1 species